rnacentral:rRNA from 1 species
UACGGGGGGGGUAAGCGUUGUUCGGAAUUAUUGGGCGUAAAGAGCUCGUAGGCGGUUCGGCAAGUCACGUGUGAAAUCUCCACGCUCAACGUGGAGGCGCCACGUGAGACUGCUGUGACUCGAGUCCGGUAGGGGAGCGUGGAAUUCCUGGUGGAGCGGUGAAAUGCGCAGAUAUCAGGAGGAACACCGAUGGCGAAGGCAGCUCACUGGGACGGUACUGACGCUGAGACGCGAAAGCGUGGGGAGCAAACAGG